AGCCGCCCUCUUUUAAUAUCAACUCCCAUCAACCAACAACUCCUUCUCAUAUAAUCUCUUUUUAAGCUAGCAUUCCUCUCAUUUUCUUCAUUGGCGCAUCGGCAAUCAAACGAAAAGGGAGAUUCAUUGUGCUGCCAGAGUUUCUAUCCAUUGAACUCCAGAGCAACCAACCAAAAACACAAGAACAUUCAAGGUAUUUUUACAUCGGUAUGCUUUCUUCUUUGUUACACGCCUCAUUUCCCAUGAAGCAUAUGAUCAGUUUAUUUGAAAAGCAUAGUAGGAGACGAAUGGUAUAAUCUUUUAUCCAUAUAGAAUCAACAACCCAUGACUUUCACACAAGGCAAAUACAAUGAGAAUUUCUGACGACACAUAGCAAAACCAUGAUGCCUAGUUUCAAUCUAUAGCAUAAACGACAAUAGGAGCCAAAGGUUUAAUUUACGGACUGCACUGAACUAGAAAAAAAAAAAAACCAUAUCUUGCUGCUUUUGCAUUUAAAAAUACUAAGAGUUAGGGCCGAACCUCAACUGCUGGAACGAAGAAGGAAAACGGCGAACUCUCGUCGUCUUGCCUGCAUCGGAAAGAAGGGCUGACAGCCCGACGGGGACGACGACGACGGUCGGGACAGGGCGAACUCGCCCAACCUCAUCAGGGCCCCGAACAGCAGCUGCCCGGCGACGAGCUGAGACUUGUGCGCAGCAGCAGCGUCCAGGGGCAGCAGCGACGCGGUAAGAGGCGUAGGCCUUCUUACUCCAGUCGACGGAGGAGAGAAUCGCCGGAGGCAGCUGACGCCGAUCAGAUCAGAGCCGAGCAGGGGCUCGAGUGCAGCAACCGCGGACGCUCGACAGCGGCGUCCUUCCCUUUUCUGAAAUCUAGGGCUCGACGUCGGAGAGGGAUAGGAGGACGGGAGUUGGACGGCGCCACUCCCAGACGACGACCGCUCGCCGGAUUCCAGACGGAGGUGCGACAGCGGCGAUGAUUUCCAGAGUUAGGGCUCGGCUAGGUUCUGCGAUGAAGAGAGAGAGCAACGCCGGUGUUUGACGCGUCGCCGAUCGAAGCUGAUCGGAGCAGAUGACGGCUGAACGGCCGGAGUAGGCGCAGCCGACCAGAAUUUGGCAGAGAGAGAGAGAGAUCGGCUUUGAAGAAGAAGGAAGAGCGGCCCCCUUGAGAAUGAGAGAGAGAUCGAGAGUUUAGAAAGAGAGAGAGAUUGGGCUAUGUUUUGGGCUUACCCUAUUUUUUUUUAAUCAUUUGGGCUUUCUUUUAUUUAAUUGUUGGGCCUAUUUUCUUAUGUUAUUUGGGCCGAUGCAUUUUAUGUUGGGCUUGAGUUGUUCUGUUGGGCCGAAAAUGUAGAAGGAAAGUGAAUGGGCUUAAGUCAGUUUGGGCUUGAGUUUUGGGGCUAUUUUUGUUGGGCUCGUUUAAAUGAUUUUAAUUAGUCUGGACUGCUCUUUUUAUU